rnacentral:ncRNA from 20 species
GGCAGCCAAGCGCCGGAUAACCCAAAGCAUUCGAAAGAUUGCAGGCGAGAGAUCGCAAUUAUGGGCCGGGGGGCUGCUUUUUU